UCUCUCUGGACACGAAGAAGAUAGACUGA
rnacentral:piRNA from 1 species